AUUUAAUUUAAAUUGUAAAUAUAUAUCAGAGCCAGUCUUCCUCAUCAUUUUCCCGCCUGAAUUUCAAAAAGCAAAAUCUUCUCUUUUGGUCCUUUUUUAGGGUUUGCCUCUUCCGUCUUCACCCAAUAUUCACGUUUGCCUCCAUCUGUCUCCUCUGUAUAUGAUUCCAACAUUGCCAGAAAAAUGACUACUCCGAUGGAGAUCUCUACGCAAAACCCCACAGAAACCCACAUUUCCGGGCAAAAUGGCGUCUCACAGGCACAGCUACCAGCCUCUCCUUCAAUUAUCGGCCAGGACAAAUUUCUCGUUUCUGUUGAAGUUUGCUUGAAACCCUCGAGCUCAGCUCGCGUUGAAGAUGUCCGCUCCGCCGUUGAAAGAAUGCUUGAAAAGAGGAGUUUAAGCUAUAUCGAUGGACCUAUUCCAGUGCCUGUCGAUGAUCCCUUUAUUGCACAAAACGUACAAAGAAUCUGUAUUUGUGACACGGAUGAAUGGGCAAAGAGCCAUGAGAUUCUUUUGUUCUGGCAGGUCAAACCUUUUGUACAUGUCUAUCAGCUUAGUGAGGAAGGACCUUGUGAGGAAUUAAGUGGGGAUGGUCAACUUUCUAGUUUCAAUGAAUGGAUUCUUCCUGCAAAGGAGUUUGAUGGCAUGUGGGAAAGCCUAAUUUAUGAAUCUGGUCUCAAGCAAAGGUUAUUGCGUUAUGCAGCGAGUGCACUACUCUUCACCGAGAAGGGUGUUGAUCCUUUCCUUGUGUCAUGGAACCGAAUUAUUCUUUUACAUGGACCACCAGGGACUGGGAAAACAUCUUUAUGUAAAGCGUUGGCUCAGAAACUAUCAAUACGAUUUAACUCUAGAUAUCCUCAAUGCCAGUUGGUUGAAGUUAAUGCUCACUCUUUAUUUAGCAAAUGGUUCUCUGAAAGUGGCAAGUUGGUUGCAAAGCUUUUCCAGAAGAUUCAAGAGAUGGUGGAGGAAGAAAACAAUCUGGUAUUUGUUUUGAUCGAUGAAGUUGAAAGCCUUGCUGCUGCAAGAAAAGCUGCUUUGUCUGGUUCUGAACCUUCUGAUUCUAUUCGAGUAUUGCUGCUUUUCCCUCCUUCCAAACUAAUUUCUAAUGUCUAAUAUGUGAAUGUCUUGAGUGACAUUACUUUGUCCAAGGUAUAGGAAACUGCUCAUUUUUUAUUACCUUGUGCAUUUUGCAAUGUGUACCAGGUUGUCAAUGCACUACUAACUCAGAUGGACAAAUUGAAAUGCUCGCCAAAUGUGAUUAUUCUGACUACCUCUAAUAUAACUGCUGCUAUUGGUAAGCCUAUGAGUUUUCUCAGUUCCAAAUAAUUUUCUUCCAAAAUUUUGCAUGCUAACUUGAACUUAUGUUCUUCCCUUUCCAUUCCUUCCCUCACUUAUCUUGGGCUGCUAAUAGUUUUCUGGUUUUAUAUCCUGAUAUUAGAUUUCCCCUUUCUUUUUCUCUGGAUACCUCCCUCAGUUCAUUGAUUAGCUUUGUACACACGAGAGUUUAGCAUAUUCCUUCCCAAGAAAUCAAUCCAACCCUUUUUCCUUUUGCUCGUGAAUGUUAUAAGCAGUGCUUCCAUCACUCUUAAUCAUCUUCAUGAACUUGACCAUUGGUCUUCAAGUUUCCAUUGAAAUUUGUACUCCAACAGGAUGCAAUGGAAUUUGAAAACCACUAACUACAUGCAUUUCAGAUGGAAGUUAGAUGUUGAGCCCUUCAUUCUCAACUCUGUGUACGGAAAAGGAAAACAAGGAAAACUAUUUGGCUACUAUUCCUUUUAUAUAUGGUUUUUCCGUGAAAUUUUUCUCAUUUUCCUUUGUGGUACUUUCUGAUUUUAUUGCAUUAUCAUCAUUAAUACAUUGCAUACGUUGCCUGUGUGCCAAUUGACUGUAUGUAUUUACAAAAUUAUUGAGUUGUAGAUAUUGCAUUUGUGGAUCGAGCUGAUAUCAAAGCAUAUGUUGGUCCUCCAACUCUUGAAGCUCGUUAUGAAAUUCUAAGGUCCUGUUUGCAGGAACUUAUACGAACGGGAAUCAUAUCAAAUUUCCAGGUCUGAACACUUUCUGUCUCACAUUCUGCUCAAAACUAGGUUUCUUAACUUCCAAAUAUUCUCCCUCUCCAUCUUGAGAAAUACUUGAAUAAACCUAAUCCACCAUGCGGCAUAUGAACUAACCACUUACAUCAUGCCACAUACACGUGUAAAAGAAACUACCUAAUCUAUCAUUUUGAAGUAAUCAAACUGCCACAUAAAAUUACUCUGAAUGGUAACUGACAAAAAGCCAAUUGCCAAAUUAUGGCUCCAGCUUAGUGGUCUGGUAGGGAGAAUUUGAACUGUCCUAUCCAGCUAUCCUCGAGCAUUUUUGCAUGAAGCGUCCGCUCUUAAGUUCUGACCUGCACACUUGUGGCUGCCAGCUUGAGACUUUCUCCACUGCACUUACUAACUGCCUUUCCACUUAUUUGUCAUUACUAAUGAACUAAUGAAGGUUUUUCUGUAGGGCUUUGACAACCUCGUACCUCCAAAUUAUUCAACUCUGAAAGAGAAAUUGAGUGCACCUGAUAUUCAAGAAGCUCAGACGCCAGUGAGCUCAUAUAAACAAUUGCUUGAAGCUGCACAGGCAUGCGAGGGACUAAGUGGAAGAUCAAUAAGAAAACUUCCAUUUUUGGCACAUGCGGCUCUUUCAAACCCAUAUGCCUGUGACGCUAAUAAGUUCUUGUCAGCAAUGAUAGACACAGCAAGGAGGGAGCGUUCUGAGCUACCCGAAUGAUUUUUACCAAUGUAAAUUGUAAAAGAUAUGUUCAAAGCUAAACAGAAAGAAGCCUACUUUUCUAUGCCCCUCGGUAUCUCAAAAAUGAGAUUCCUGAUACAAUUAAGUCAUAGUAGGAGGUUUUUAACCCUAUCCCAUGUAAGGAAGGGGCAUUCGGGACACUGGUGCUAGCCUUUGUAGAAAUGGUUCCCUUCUUUUUUUAAUUUUAAAUCCUAAUUAAAAGCAACUGUCAUGUGAUUAUGUGAAAUAGUAGAAUAUGCGGAG
rnacentral:misc_RNA from 1 species